AUGGAAAUUUUGAAAAUGUAACAUCGCUCCCUAUAAGCGGAGCAUACUCCAGUUUGAACUAUGCAUCUUAGAAAUAUUUAUUCAUGUCAUGUUGCCAAAAUAUUGUAUACCCAAAAUGUAAAGCUUAAUAUGUUUCUAUGCAAAAAGGGGCUUGGUUUAGUGUUCUGAUGGGCUUCGCUUCAUGCACAGGCUGCCCUACGAUGAUAAGGAUGAAAUUCGAAAUUUAUAUGAUCAGAUAUGAAAUGCGUUUGUGAUAUUAUAUCAAUCAAGUACAAAGUGUUUUAAAUGUAUAAUUAAGCCGCGACCUAGAAAGAAUAUACGAGUGCUAUGCCAGUGCGCCCUCAUCGGAACGAAAGCCGUGUGCAAAUUUUCAGCAUGAUUGGACAUUUGGAAAUGUCAAUUGGAAUCUUCUACGCUGAGAUGAAAACAAGUUAAAUGUUCAUCACAAUCCACACGAUAGACAGAAGUGUUUUAAAUUAAUUCAAUAUCUGCUCGUCUUUAACCGGAAUUCUUAAG